rnacentral:rRNA from 1 species
GAUGAACGCUGACAGAAUGCUUAACACAUGCAAGUCGAUGGGGAAGUGGUGCUUGCACCAUGGCAACCAUGGCGGACGGGUGAGUAACGCGUAAGGGACUUACCUGCAGGACUGGGAUAACAGGGGGAAACUCCUGACAAGACCGGAUAAUGUCAUGGAGCUGCAUGGCUUUAUGAUGAAAGGAGACGCCUGCGGAGAGCCUUGCGUCCUAUUAGCUAGUUGGUGAGGUAAUGGCUCACCAAGGCGAAGAUAGGUAGCCGGCCUGAGAGGGUGGACGGCCACAAGGGGACUGAGAUACGGCCCUUACUCCUACGGGAGGCAGCAGUGGGGAAUAUUGGACAAUGGGGGCGACCCUGAUCCAGCAAUUCUGUGUGCACGAAGAAGGUUUUCGGAUUGUAAAGUGCUUUCAGCAGGGAAGAAGUAAGUGACGGUACCUGCAGAAGAAGCGACGGCUAAAUACGUG